GACGAACGCUGGCGGCGUGCUUAACACAUGCAAGUCGAACGGAAAGGCCCCGCUUUUGUGGGGUGCUCGAGUGGCGAACGGGUGAGUAACACGUGAGUAACCUGCCCUUGACUUUGGGAUAACUUCAGGAAACUGGGGCUAAUACCGGAUAGGAGCUCCUGCUGCAUGGUGGGGGUUGGAAAGUUUCGGCGGUUGGGGAUGGACUCGCGGCUUAUCAGCUUGUUGGUGGGGUAGUGGCUUACCUAGGCUUUGACGGGUAGCCGGCCUGAGAGGGUGACCGGCCACAUUGGGACUGAGAUACGGCCCAGACUCCUACGGGAGGCAGCAGUGGGGAAUAUUGCACAAUGGGCGGAAGCCUGAUGCAGCAACGCCGCGUGCGGGAUGACGGCCUUCGGGUUGUAAACCGCUUUCGCCUGUGACGAAGCGUGAGUGACGGUAAUGGGUAAAGAAGCACCGGCUAACUACGUG
rnacentral:rRNA from 1 species